rnacentral:rRNA from 1 species
UAGUCUGGGAUACCACUUGGAAACAGGUGCUAAUACCGGAUAAGAAAGCAGAUCGCAUGAUCAGCUUUUAAAAAGGCGGCGUAAGCUGUCGCUAUGGGAUGGCCCCGCGGUGCAUUAGCUAGUUGGUAAGGUAAAGGCUUACCAAGGGCGAUGAUGCAUAGCCGAGUUGAGAGACUGAUCGGGCCACAUUGGGGACUGAGACACGGGCCCAAACUCCUACGGGGGGAGGGGCAGCAGUAGGGGAAUCUUCCACAAUGGACGCAAGUCUGAUGGAGCAACGCCGCGUGAGUGAAGAAGGUUUUCGGAUCGUAAAGCUCUGUUGUUGGUGAAGAAGGAUAGAGGUAGUAACUGGCCUUUAUUUGACGGUAAUCAACCAGAAAGUCACGGCUAAACUACGUGCCAGCAGCCCGCAGUAAU